CCAUUAGAUGCUCUGGGCCGCACGCGCGCUACACUGGUCGAUGCAACGAGUUUCUUUCCUUGGCCGACAGGCCUGGGCAAUCUUUGAACAUCGAUCGUGAUCGGGAUAGAUUCUUGUAAUUUUUGAUCUUAAACGAGGAAUUCCUAGUAAACGCAAGUCAUCAGCUUGCAUUGAUUACGUCCCUGCCCUUUGUACACACCGCCCGUCGCACCUACCGAUUGAAUGGUCCGGUGAAAUCUCCGGACUGGCGUGAGUCGGAGCAAUCUGACAAACACCGGAAAGUUGAUUAAACCUUACCAUUUAGAGGAAGGUGAAGUCGUAACA
rnacentral:rRNA from 1 species